GAUGGUUCAUUCAAAUUUCUGCCCUAUCAACUUUCGAUGGUAGGAUAGUGGCCUACCAUGGUGGCAACGGGUAACGGGGAAUUAGGGUUCGAUUCCGGAGAGGGAGCCUGAGAAACGGCUACCACAUCCAAGGAAGGCAGCAGGCGCGCAAAUUACCCAAUCCCGAUACGGGGAGGUAGUGACAAUAAAUACUGAUACGGGGCUCUUUUGGGUCUCGUAAUUGGAAUGAGAACAAUUUAAAUCCCUUAACGAGGAACAAUUGGAGGGCAAGUCUGGUGCCAGCAGCCGCGGUAAUUCCAGCUCCAAUAGCGUAUAUUAAAGUUGUUGCAGUUAAAAAGCUCGUAGUUGAACCUUGGGCCUGGCUGGCCGGUCCGCCUCACCGCGAGUACUGGUCCGGCUGGGCCUUUCCUUCUGGGGAACCUCAUGGCCUUCACUGGCUGUGGGGGGAACCAGGACUUUUACUGUGAAAAAAUUAGAGUGUUCAAAGCAGGCCUUUGCUCGAAUACAUUAGCAUGGAAUAAUAGAAUAGGACGUGUGGUUCUAUUUUGUUGGUUUCUAGGACCGCCGUAAUGAUUAAUAGGGAUAGUCGGGGGCGUCAGUAUUCAGCUGUCAGAGGUGAAAUUCUUGGAUUUGCUGAAGACUAACUACUGCGAAAGCAUUCGCCAAGGAUGUUUUCAUUAAUCAGGGAACGAAAG
rnacentral:rRNA from 1 species